AGAUUGAACGCUGGCGGCAGGCCUAACACAUGCAAGUCGAGCGGUAGAGAGGUGCUUGCAUCUCUUGAGAGCGGCGGACGGGUGAGUAAUGCCUAGGAAUCUGCCUAGUGGUGGGGGAUAACGUUCGGAAACGGACGCUAAUACCGCAUACGUCCUACGGGAGAAAGCGGGGACCUUCGGGCCUCGCGCCAUUAGAUGAGCCUAGGUCGGAUUAGCUAGUUGGUGAGGUAAUGGCUCACCAAGGCGACGAUCCGUAACUGGUCUGAGAGGAUGAUCAGUC
rnacentral:rRNA from 1 species